AUAGGUCGAAUGUUGAUCACUAGUGCAUAGUUCGGAUGAUCAAUUCGUGAUUAGUUGAACAAAAUAGUCUUUCGCUUCUGUCUAACGGUCAUC